GCAUCCUGGGCUACACUGAGGACCAGGUUGUCUCCUGUGACUUCAACAGCAACUCCCACUCUUCCACCUUUGAUGCUGGGGCUGGCAUUGCUCUCAAUGACCACUUUGUAAAGCUUAUUUCCUGGUAUGACAAUGAAUACGGCUACAGCAACAGGGUUGUGGACCUCAUGGCCUACAUGGCCUCCAAGGAG